rnacentral:rRNA from 1 species
UUAAUGUCCAGGAGAGUGGCCUUCCGCAUGGAGGGCUGACUAGAGAUUUAUCGGUAUGGGAUGAGCUUGCGUCCGAUUAGCUAGUUGGCGGGGCAACGGCCCACCAAGGCGACGAUCGGUAGCCGGCCUGAGAGGGUGAUCGGCCACAUUGGGACUGAGAUACGGCCCAGACUCCUACGGGAGGCAGCAGUAGGGAAUAUUGCACAAUGGGGGAAACCCUGAUGCAGCAACGCCACGUGUGGGAAGAAGCAUUUCGGUGUGUAAACCACUGUCAUGAGGGAAUAAGGCCCUUAUUCGUAAGGGAUUGAAUGUACCUUGAGAGGAAGCACCGGCAAACUUCGUGCCAGCAGCCGCGGUAGUACGAGGGGUGCAAGCGUUGUUCGGAAUUACUGGGCGUAAAGGGAGCGUAGGCGGAGAUUCAAGCGGAUUGUACAAUCCCGGGGCCCAACCCCGGUUCUGCAGUCUGAACUGGAUCUCUUGGAUAGUUCAGGGGCAGGCGGAAUUCCUGGUGUAGCGGUGGAAUGCGUAGAGAUCAGGAAGAACACCGAUGGCGAAGGCAGCCUGCUGGGGACUCAUCGACGCUGAGGCUCGAAAGUGCGGGUAGCAAGCAGGAUUAGAUACCCUGGUAGUCCGCACCGUAAACAAUGCAUACUGGGUGUCCGGGGGUUCCCCCGGG